UGGGGAAUAUUGCACAAUGGGCGCAAGCCUGAUGCAGCCAUGCCGCGUGUAUGAAGAAGGCCUUCGGGUCGUAAAGUACUUUCAGUCGGGAGGAAGGUGUCAAGGUUAAUAACCUUGGCAAUUGACGUUACCGACAGAAGAAGCACCGGCUAACUCCGUGCCAGCAGCCGCGGUAAUACGGAGGGUGCAAGCGUUAAUCGGAAUUACUGGGCGUAAAGCGCACGCAGGCGGUUGAUUGAGUCAGAUGUGACAUCCCCGGGCUUAACCCGGGAAUUGCAUCUGAUACUGGUCAGCUAGAGUCUUGUAGAGGGGGGUAGAAUUCCAUGUGUAGCGGUGAAAUGCGUAGAGAUGUGGAGGAAUACCGGUGGCGAAGGCGGCCCCCUGGACAAAGACUGACGCUCAGGUGCGAAAGCGUGGGGAGCAAACAGG
rnacentral:rRNA from 1 species